AGAACGAACGCUGGCGGCAGGCUUAACACAUGCAAGUCGAACGCCCCGCAAGGGGAGUGGCAGACGGGUGAGUAACGCGUGGGAAUGUGCCUUUUGGUUCGGAACAACUCCGGGAAACUGGAGCUAAUACCGAAUGUGUCCGUAAGGAGAAAGAUUUAUCGCCAAAAGAUCAGCCCGCGUCAGAUUAGCUAGUUGUGGGGUAAAAGCCUACCAAGGCGACGAUCUGUAGCUGUUCUGAGAGGAAGAUCAGCCACACUGGGACUGAGACACGGCCCAGACUCCUACGGGAGGCAGCAGUGGGGAAUCUUGGACAAUGGGCGCAAGCCUGAUCCAGCCAUGCCGCGUGAGUGAUGAAGGCCUUAGGGUUGUAAACUCUUUCGCCGGGUACGAGUAAUGACGGUACCCGGAGAAGAACGCUCCGGCUAACUUCGUGCCAGCAGCCGC
rnacentral:rRNA from 1 species